AAAUAAAUCAAAUUUAUUAAAAUCCUUGUCAUAUCUUCCAAUAUACAUAUAGAAUGCACAAGAAAUCAACAAAUUGCGAGUCCAAUUGCGAAUCCUGAGGCGUUUUCAGGAGCAAGAAGAAAUGGAAAUGGAGAACCGUUUCAAGGAGUAGCUGACGAUUUGAAUGCAUUACAAAAUAAACAAGCUAGACGAAUUGCGCAUCCUCAGGCAUUGAUAGCAAGAAGAAAUAGAAAUAUAUAUGUCAAUGGUGAAAGAUUUCAAAGGGCUGAGGAUCUGAUAUAUUUGACUCCUGAUACACCAAUUCAUAAAGAUAUUUAUGAAUUGAUGAAAACCAGGUCGGAUGCACGAUUCGUAAGGGAAAUGGCUCAAACAAUGUGGGGAACUGAAGGACUUCAGCAACGCUGCUUGAAUGUCGAAAGAGCUAACGCGCGAAAUAAUGGAGAAAUAAGAUGAAUGCCUCUCACUCCCGAAAAAUAUGAAAUGUUAAUGUAUAAUAAAUUUGUAAGAUCCUAAUUUUAUUUUCAUCGUAGAUUGCCUUUAUGAGAAAAUCAAUGAGUCAGGUGUAAAAGGAAAGCAAAGAGCGCUACGCAUGAAAAAAAUUCCAAAGAUCAUGAGAGCUGAAUUGUAUGAUGUCUGCAGAAGAUUAAAAUAAGUUGACUUACGUUAAGAAAUAUUCUAAUUGACAUUUCUUGAAACUGUUAAAUCAAUUUCAUUUUUCCGUUCUUUUUUAUAUUAUUUCCUACGUUACACUUUCACAUAAUACACUACUUACACUACUACUUAAAUCACGUCCAAAAUAACAUAAGAGACCACGUCCUAAACAAUGCUAUAUAAAUUACAAUUAUAUAAAAAAUCAUGUCGUAAAACACAUUUUAAACCAUGUCCUAAACUAUGUCGUUAACGACUUGUAAUC